rnacentral:misc_RNA from 1 species
GGAUGAAGAACGUAGCGAAAUGCGAUAAGUAAUGUGAAUUGCAGAAUUCAGUGAAUCAUCGAAUCUUUGAACGCACAUUGCGCCCUUUGGUAUUCCGAAGGGCAUGCCUGUUCGAGCGUCAUUUCAAACCUCAAGCUCACGCUUGGUAUUGGGCGCCGUCCGCGAGGACGCGCCAGAAACCCGUAGGCAGCGGUGCCCGUCUCCCAGCGUAGUCAAUCUACCCGCUUCGGAGCGCGCGGCAUCGCCCGCCGGACGAACAACCACUUCUUCUAUGGUUUGACCUCGGAUCAGGUAGGGAUACCCGCUGAACUUAAGCAUAUCAAUAAGCGGAGGA